GAGGGUAUAGCUCAGUGGUAGAGUGCAUGCCUAGCAUGCACAAGGUCAUGGGUUCAACCCCCAGUACCUCCA
rnacentral:tRNA from 1 species